CUACAUAACCAGGGGCGCUCCGGCAGGAGCUGAGAUACGCAUGAUGCGUAGACCCUUUACAGCUGAUCUGGGUAAUGCCAGCGGAGCGAGGUACUUAAAUGUUCAU
rnacentral:ncRNA from 2 species